UACCAGCUCCCCCGAGUGGUCGGGACGUUUAUUGGGCCUAAAGCAUCCGUAGCCGGCCCUGUAAGUCCCAUGUUAAAUCCAAUCGCUCAACGAUUGGGCCGCAUGGGAUACCGCAGGGCUAGGAGGCGGGAGAGGCGGACGGUACUCCGCGGGUAGGGGUAAAAUCCACUGAUCCGCGGAAGACCACCAGUGGCGAAGGCGGUCCGCCAGAACGCGCUCGACGGUGAGGGAUGAAAGCUGGGGGAGCGAACCGGAUUAGAUACCCUGGUAGU
rnacentral:rRNA from 1 species